UAGCCCGUUCAUGUGGGCCUUGACGCAAGACUUGAACCACCAGCCUCCCUUAAAGAGACCCCCGCAGUUAGCAGUCAAGUGUUCAUCAUUGUCUUCAUCGAAGGUGGUGAACUUCAUGUUAUUAUGCAUAAGCAGAGAGUCCCCUAGAAAACAAAACAUCCAGUUCUGUUUACUUCAGAGCAGAAAUCCCCCAAAAUUUCCUACAUCUUCAGUGUCUGCACUGAGCUUGCUUUGGUGAUGUGCAUUCUGUGUGAAGAUUACAAGCUGUACAGUGAUAUGAUAUAGGAAAAACUGAGUGCACCCUCUCCUGACCCAAGAUAAUUGUGACUUAUAUACUCCUGAUAUAGCUCAGGAUCAGUACAGGUCUAGAUAUAUAAUGCGAUGUUGUGGAGAGUGGAUGACUUCAUCAAGUCCGGCUGCUCUAAUCUAUAGUAUUCACCAGGGAAGUUGUGAUUGCCCAGUAUUUACCACCUUACCUGCAUUUCCACCACUGAAGGGGCCCAGCAGUAACUUGUACUUCUCACACUCGCUCAGAAUCUUGAAGCCAGAAUUCUUGACGGCUUCCAAAUCCCUCUUUGUAAGCUUUCCAGUUACGGGUGAAAUCCACAGAUCCAUCCCAACGUCUCUGAAAGACCUGCGGACGGGAAGGAAGAUUCCUCCACAAAGCUGGAUAAAUCCAUAAGACAUCACUUGGACUGUAAGGGAACGUCACUACGCAGUCAACUCAUACUGGACGGUUGGGAUAUUCUUCUCUUUCUGGAAUGAUUUCACCAUCUUAUCUUCUGGAGUUUCUCUGUGGAUUUGCUUUUUCCACGUUCUUCAAACACCAGGACUCUGCGGAGACCUCACAAUAGCUCCCAGGAAGGAAUACAGACAUCCACAGUUAAUCCAGCCGUCGCCAUGGGAACGGAAGCCAAGAGCGUGUAUGUACCAGUGGCGAUGGCUUUCCAGAAUUUUUAUUCAGCGUUUUAAUCAGUCCGUGCCAGUUAUCAGCCUCCUAGGAAUAGACUCACAUAGCCGUGCAAGGGCAGGUUCUCGCUAUCUAUUCCAUCUGUUACCAUGGAAACCAGGAAAGUCCUUCAAUGUCUGAAUUUAGAAAGUAUAUUAUGCUUAUGUCACCCAUCGUUGUACAGCAAUGAAUAUGUUAGAUUUUUUUUUUUAUAUGUGUACAGGAAUAUAUCUGCUCUAAUACUGCCCCCUAUGUACAAGAAUAUAAAGACUAUAAUACUGCCUUCUAUGUACAAGAAUAUAACUACUAUAAUACUGCCUUCUAUGUACAAGAAUAUACCUACUAUAAUACUGCUCCUAUAUACAAGAAUAUAACUACUAUAAUACUGCCCCCUAUAUACAAGACUAUAACUACUAUAAUACUGCUCCUAUAUACAGGAAUAUAACUACUAUAAUACUGCCUCCUAUAUACAAGAAUAUAACUACUAUAAUACUGCUCCUAUAUACAGGAAUAUAACUACUAUAAUACUGCUCCUAUAUACAAGAAUAUAACUACUAUAAUACUGCCCCCUAUAUACAAGAAUAUAACUACCAUAAUACUGCCUCCUAUAUACAAGAAUAUAUCUACUAUAAUACUGCUCCUAUAUAAAAGAAUAUAACUACUAUAAUACUGCCUCCUAUAUACAAGAAUAUAACUACUA